rnacentral:rRNA from 1 species
UACGUAGGUGGCAAGCGUUGUCCGGAUUUAUUGGGUUUAAAGGGUGCGUAGGCGGCCUUGUAAGUCAGUGCUGAAAUAUCCCGGCUUAACCGGGAGGGUGGCAUUGAUACUGCAGGGCUUGAGUAAAGUUGAGGUUGGCGGAAUUGACGGUGUAGCGGUGAAAUGCUUAGAUAUCGUCAAGAACACCGAUAGUGAAGACAGCUAAC